UCUGUCUUCCUCGCAAUUCCUCUACCGAGCGUCGUCUCCAAUUGUUGUUCUUCACCAUCGGACGGCUGUACCCUCGUACCCUGAUUCCCCGUCCGUGCCCGCACUCCGCACGCCCGCGUGACCGCCCCACCCCUCUCUCCCCGAUUCCCCACCCCGGCUUCUCCGCCCGCUGCCACCUUCUCGCCCUUGGCUUCUCCGCAGCCCCCUGCCCGCCACCUUCUCCGCGCCCCCUCCUCGGGCGAACCGUCUUGGGCCCAUGGAGAUUUCCCCGCCGCCAUCACCGCCAGAAACACCGCACGACACAUCGCCCCAACCGCAGCCGCCAACUUCGCCCUCCAGCUUCUUCACGCCUCCUGUAAGUACCUCCGUGUCGAGGGCAACACCACAGCUGCCUCGGUGAGUAUUCAUCCUCCGACUGUCUCGUGAGCCCCCUUUCUCCCCGACGGAGCACCCGCACCACCCGUCCUUCCAGGUCCUGCUCAGGUGAACGAGGUGGAGGCGCUGUACAAGCUGUAAAGAAUAUCAGCUGCUCCAUUGUCGACGACGGCCUGAUCCAUAAGGUUUUUCCUUUCAUGGAUGGCCAAACACUAAGGAGGUAUUUUUUUAUCAGCCUAUUGACGUACAACGGGAAUUCGUGUCGAUACGUAAUACCUACAGGUGUACGAGAAUAUCUUAGCCGUAUCGUGGGCAAGAUGAUUUGAAAGAGAUAGUUAUGGUAAUAAAUCUAUUUCUAUAGACUUAUUUAUUUGUAUUCAAAGUUAAAUCAUAGUUGUAUUUGAAAUUCAAGUUGUAAGCUUUAUCUGAAAGCGAUUUUAUUAUUUGUCAUGAGGCUACA